rnacentral:rRNA from 11 species
AAUUACAAUUUUUAGGGCCUAAAGGCACCAGAUCCUGUCUGAUUAUGAAAGUUAAACAGGCUUAGCCCUGGUUGCUGCUUGGACGGUAGACCACAAAUGAAUAACAGGUGCUGUAGGCU